rnacentral:rRNA from 1 species
AAGAGAGCGUCUAGGCGAACAAUGUUCUUAAAGUUUGACCUCAAAUCAGGUAGGAGUACCCGCUGAACUUAAGCAUAUCAAUAAGCGGAGGAAAAGAAACCAACCGGGAUUGCCUUAGUAACGGCGAGUGAAGCGGCAAAAGCUCAAAUUUGAAAUCUGGUACCUUCGGUGCCCGAGUUGUAAUUUGGAGAGGGCAACUUUGGGGCCGUUCCUUGUCUAUGUUCCUUGGAACAGGACGUCAUAGAGGGUGAGAAUCCCGUGUGGCGAGGAGUGCGGUUCUUUGUAAAGUGCCUUCGAAGAGUCGAGUUGUUUGGGAAUGCAGCUCUAAGUGGGUGGUAAAUUCCAUCUAAAGCUAAAUAUUGGCGAGAGACCGAUAGCGAACAAGUACAGUGAUGGAAAGAUGAAAAGAACUUUGAAAAGAGAGUGAAAAAGUACGUGAAAUUGUUGAAAGGGAAGGGCAUUUGAUCAGACAUGGUGUUUUGUGCCCUCUGCUCCUUGUGGGUAGGGGAAUCUCGCAUUUCACUGGGCCAGCAUCAGUUUUGGUGGCAGGAUAAAUCCAUAGGAAUGUAGCUUGCCUCGGUAAGUAUUAUAGCCUGUGGGAAUACUGCCAGCUGGGACUGAGGACUGCGACGUAAGUCAAG